CCUACGGGUGGCAGCAGUGGGGAAUAUUUGGCAAUGGGCGCAAGUCUGACCCAGCAACGCCGCGUGAAGGAAGAAGGCCUUCGGGUUGUAAACUUCUUUUCUCAGGGACGCAGCAAGUGACGGUACCUGAGGAAUAAGCCACGGCUAACUACGUGCCAGCAGCCGCGGUAAUCCGGGGGAUGCGAGCGUUAUCCGGAUUUAUUGGGUUAAAGGGGUGCGUAGGCGGUUUUUUAAGUUAGUGGUUAAACGUCGGGGCCUCACCUUGAGUUGCCAUUAAUACUGUUAGACUCGAGUUCAGACGAGGUAGGCGGAAUAAGUUAAGUAGCGGUGAAAUGCUUAGAUAUAACUUAGAACACCGAUAGCGAAGGCAGCUUACCAGACUGCGACUGACGCUGAAGCACGAGAGCGUGGGUAGCGAACAGGAUUAGAUACCCGAGUAGUC
rnacentral:rRNA from 1 species